rnacentral:rRNA from 1 species
ACUUUAAAACGAAUGUCGGUUUCAAACUGGAAAAAGGUGGGGAAGACGUAUAAUCAUCAUGCUCCUUAUGGCCUGGACUUCACAUGAGAUACAAUGGAUGGUACAAAGGGCAGCGAAGCCGCGAGGUGGAGCCAAUUCUAUAAAGUCAUUCUCAGUUCGGAUUGCAGGCUGCAACUCGCUUGCAUGAAGCCGGAAUUGCUAGUAAUCGCGGAUCAGCAUGCCGCGGUGAAUACGUUCCCGGGCCUUGUACACACCGCCCUUCACACCACGAGAGUUUGUAACACCCGAAGUCGGUGGGGUAACCUUUUGGAGCCAGCCGCCUAAGGCGACCAGAA